AAGCCAGAGCUCUGGGUACGA
rnacentral:misc_RNA from 1 species